AUACGAAGGGGGCUAGCGUUGUUCGGAUUUACUGGGCGUAAAGCGCACGUAGGCGGGUCGUUAAGUUAGGGGUGAAAUCCCAGGGCUCAACCCUGGAACUGCCUUUAAUACUGGCGACCUAGAGUCCGGAAGAGGUGAGUGGAACUCCUUGUGUAGAGGUGGAAUUCGUAGAUAUUAGGAAGAACACCAGUGGCGAAGGCGGCUCACUGGUCCGGUACUGACGCGAAGGUGCGAAAGCGUGGGGAGCAAACAGGAUUAGAUACCCUGGUAGUCCACGCCGUAAACUAUGAGAGCUAGCCGUUGGGAUGUUUACAUCUCAGUGGCGCAGCUAACGCAUUAAGCUCUCCGCCUGGGGAGUACGGUCGCAAGAUUAA
rnacentral:rRNA from 1 species